GAGGUAACUCCCAACCCCUGUGACAUACCUAUACGUUGCCUCGGCGGAUCAGCCCGCGCCCCGUAAAACGGGACGGCCCGCCCGAGGACCCCUAAACUCUGUUUUUAGUGGAACUUCUGAGUAAAACAAACAAAUAAAUCAAAACUUUCAACAACGGAUCUCUUGGUUCUGGCAUCGAUGAAGAACGCAGCAAAAUGCGAUAAGUAAUGUGAAUUGCAGAAUUCAGUGAAUCAUCGAAUCUUUGAACGCACAUUGCGCCCGCCAGUAUUCUGGCGGGCAUGCCUGUUCGAGCGUCAUUUCAACCCUCAAGCUCAGCUUGGUGUUGGGACUCGCGGUAACCCGCGUUCCCCAAAUCGAUUGGCGGUCACGUCGAGCUUCCAUAGCGUAGUAAUCAUACACCUCGUUACUGGUAAUCGUCGCGGCCACGCCGUAAAACCCCAACUUCUGAAUGUUGACCUCGGAUCAGGUAGGAAUACCCGCUGAACUUAAGCAUAUCAAAGGCCGUAGGA
rnacentral:rRNA from 1 species